AUUGAACGCUGGCGGCAUGCUUUACACAUGCAAGUCGGACGAGUGGCGAACGGGUGAGUAACAUAUCGGAACGUACCGAGUAAUGGUGGAUAACUAAUCGAAAGAUUAGCUAAUACCGCAUACUAUUUGAGCGGCCGAUAUCUGAUUAGCUGGUUGGUGGGGUAAAGGCUUACCAAGGCUACGAUCAGUAGCGGGUCUGAGAGGAUGAACGGCCAAACUAGAACUGAGCCACGGCCCAGACUCCUACGGUGGUCAGCAGUGGGGAACGUUGUAUAAAGGGCGAAAGCCUGAUCCAGCCAUGCCGCAUGUAUGAAGAAGGCCUUCGGGUUGUAAGGGACUUUUGUCAGGGAAGCGGUACCUGAAGAAUGUGCACCGGCUAACUACGGGCCAGGAGCCGCGGUAAUUC
rnacentral:rRNA from 1 species